rnacentral:rRNA from 1 species
UGGGGAAUCUUGCGCAAUGGGCGAAAGCCUGACGCAGCAACGCCGCGUGCGGGAAGAAGGCCUUAGGGUUGUAAACCGCUUUCAGUAGGAACGAAAAUGACGGUAACUGCAGAAGAAGGUGCGGCCAACUACGUGCCAGCAGCCGCGGUGACACGUAGGCACCAAGCGUUGUCCGGAUUUAUUGGGCGUAAAGAGCUCGUAGGCGGUUCAGUAAGUCGGGUGUGAAAACUCUGGGCUUAACCCAGAGCCGCCACUCGAUACUGCUGUGACUUGAGUUCGGUAGGGGAGCAGGGAAUUCCUAGUGUAGCGGUGAAAUGCGCAGAUAUUAGGAGGAACACCGGUGGCGAAGGCGCUGCUCUGGGCCGAUACUGACGCUGAGGAGCGAAAGCGUGAGUAGCAAAC